UGCAAGUCGAGCGAGAAGUAAAGAAAUGAAGCUUCGGUAGAUUUUCAUUAUGGAAAGCGGCGGACGGGUGAGUAACGCGUAGGCAACCUGCCCUGUACAGGGGGAUAGCCACCCGAAAAGGUGAUUAAUACCCCAUGAUGCAAGAGAUACACAUGUAUCACUUGUCAAAGAUUUAUCGGUAUGGGAUGGGCCUGCGUCUGAUUAGCUAGUUGGUAGGGUAACGGCUUACCAAGGCAACGAUCAGUAGCCGACCUGAGAGGGUGAUCGGCCACAUUGGAACUGAGACACGGUCCAAACUCCUACGGGAGGCAGCAGUGGGGAAUAUUGCACAAUGGGGGAAACCCUGACGCAGCAACGCCGCGUGAAGGAAGAAAGCCUUCGGGUUGUAAACUUCUGUCCUAGGGGAAGAAACAAGUGAGGUUACCCUUGGAGGAAGCCCCGGCUAACUACGUGCCAGCAGCCGCGGUAAUACGUAGGGGGCGAGCGUUAUCCGGAAUUAUUGGGCGUAAAGAGUGCGUAGGUGGCAUCUUAAGCGCAGGGUUUAAGGCAAUGGCUCAACCAUUGUUCGCCUUGCGAACUGGGGUGCUUGAGUGCAGGAGGGGAAAGUGGAAUUCCUAGUGUAGCGGUGAAAUGCGUAGAUAUUAGGAGGAACACCAGUGGCGAAGGCGACUUUCUGGACUGUUACUGACACUGAGGCACG
rnacentral:rRNA from 1 species